AUACGGAGGGGGCUAGCGUUGUUCGGAAUUACUGGGCGUAAAGCGCGCGUAGGCGGCUUAUCAAGUUAGGCGUGAAAGGCCUGGGCUCAACCCGGGAAUUGCGCUUAAUACUGGUAGACUUGAGUCCGGGAGAGGGUGGCGGAAUUCCCAGUGUAGAGGUGAAAUUCGUAGAUAUUGGGAAGAACACCAGUGGCGAAGGCGGCCACCUGGCCCGGUACUGACGCUGAGGUGCGAAAGCGUGGGGAGCAAACAGGAUUAGAAACCCGAGUAGUCC
rnacentral:rRNA from 1 species